CAGUCGUACUUAUGGGUAAUCAGCCUUUUGGGUGUGAUUAUGUGGAGCGUGAGGAGCUAAUCGCCUUCAUCUUUGCAUAUUCCUGCACUUUGGGUUACUUGCUCGUGUGUAGGUUAACAUCAAUUUUGAUUAUCAUAAAAUGAUUGAAGGAUGUAGCUUCGAUCUCGUAUUGAAGUGUUA
rnacentral:rRNA from 1 species